UGACACGGGGUGCCUGAGAGGCUGAGAGUAAACCCGUAGAACCUGAUCCAGCUCGUACUGGCGGAGGGAUUG
rnacentral:ncRNA from 1 species